GCCCAGAUGGUGGAAUUGGUAGACACGAGGGACUUAAAAUCCCUUGGCCUAACAGCCGUACGGGUUCGAGUCCCGUUCCGGGCA
rnacentral:tRNA from 1 species